rnacentral:rRNA from 1 species
AACGAACGCUGGCGGCAUGCCUAACACAUGCAAGUCGAACGAGACCUUCGGGUCUAGUGGCGCACGUGUGCGUAACGCGUGGGAACCUGCCCUUAGGUUCGGAAUAACUCCCCGAAAGGGGUGCUAAUACCGGAUAAUGUCUUCGGACCAAAGAUUUAUCGCCUUUGGAUGGGCCCGCGUUGGAUUAGCUAGUUGGUAGGGUAAAAGCCUACCAAGGCGACGAUCCAUAGCUGGUCUGAGAGGAUGAUCAGCCACACUGGGACUGAGACACGGCCCAGACUCCUACGGGAGGCAGCAGUGGGGAAUAUUGGACAAUGGGCGAAAGCCUGAUCCAGCAAUGCCGCGCGAGUGAUGAAGGCCUUAGGGUUGUAAAGCUCUUUUACCCGGGAUGAUAAUGACAGUACCGGGAGAAUAAGCCCCGGCUAACUCCGUG